rnacentral:rRNA from 1 species
GACGAACGCUGGCGGCGUGCCUAAUACAUGCAAGUGGGACGCAAGGGAACACACUGUGCUUGCACACCGUGUUUUCUUGAGUCGCGAACGGGUGAGUAACGCGUAGGUAACCUGCCUAUUAGCGGGGGAUAACUAUUGGAAACGAUAGCUAAUACCGCAUAAUAUUAAUUAUUGCAUGAUAAUUGAUUGAAAGAUGCAAGCGCAUCACUAGUAGAUGGACCUGCGUUGUAUUAGCUAGUUGGUAAGGUAAGAGCUUACCAAGGCGACGAUACAUAGCCGACCUGAGAGGGUGAUCGGCCACACUGGGACUGAGACACGGCCCAGACUCCUACGGGAGGCAGCAGUAGGGAAUCUUCGGCAAUGGACGAAAGUCUGACCGAGCAACGCCGCGUGAGUGAAGAAGGUUUUCGGAUCGUAGAGCUCUGUUGUAAGUCAAGAACGUGUGUGAGAGUGGAAAGUUCACACAGUGACGGAGCUACCAGA